GACGAACGCUGGCGGCGUGCCUAAUACAUGCAAGUCGAACGGUCUUUUCUAUGGAAGCUUGCUUCCGCUGAGAAGAUAGUGGCGAACGGGCGAGUAACACGUGGGUAACCUGCCCAUAAGAGGGGGAUAACAUCCGGAAACGGGUGCUAAUACCGCAUAGUUUUCUUGAUCGCAUGAUUGAGAAAGGAAAGACGGCCUUUGUGCUGUCGCUUAUGGAUGGACCCGCGGCGUAUUAGUUAGUUGGUGAGGUAACGGCUCACCAAGACGAUGAUACGUAGCCGACCUGAGAGGGUGAUCGGCCACAUUGGGACUGAGACACGGCCCAAACUCCUACGGGAGGCAGCAGUAGGGAAUCUUCCGCAAUGGACGAAAGUCUGACGGAGCAACGCCGCGUGAGUGAAGAAGGUUUUCGGAUCGUAAAACUCUGUUGUCAGAGAAGAACAAGUCGGAGAGUAACUGCUCCGGCCUUGACGGUAUCUGACCAGAAAGCCACGGCUAACUACGUGCCAGCCGCCGCAGUAAAAC
rnacentral:rRNA from 1 species